UUGUUAACAUAAACAAAUAAUCAAGUUUAUUUUUAAGUGCAGGAAUAAGCGUAUGGUUUCGGUUUAUUUUUCUCUUGUCAGUUUCUUAAAUCUUAGUUCCUAACAACUUCAAACUGAAUUAUUCCCAACUAUCUAUCUAACUCCCUAACAAUUCCUCUCACUCUCUCACAAUACAACUUGACCAACCCACUGCCUAUUCCACCCUCCUCCUUCUCCAACACCCAAACCUCAACUCCCAACUGACAAACCUCAACUCCCAACUGACAAACCUCAACUCCCAACUCCCAAACCUCAACUGACUUUUCAAAACCUCCCACUCUAUCUUUUACUCCCCCCUUGCAUUCUCACUGGCCAAUCACAUCACACCCAUUUUAACCCUUUCCUUGACCCAUCCUAGGAGGCAAACGCCACAAGGGGCAUUUCAGCCCCUUGCUUUCAGAUUGCAAAGGACAAGCCCAGCUCGACCAGACCAAAAGGCCCACUUAUUCUAGCAUCUUGUUCUCUGGAACGACAGUGGAUGAUUCAAGAGGAACAAUAAACAUGUUGGAGCACAUGCUAGCCACAAGGAGAGUCAAAAAGACAUUGACUUUAUUACUUGGUUGCCAUCACUGGCAUCUGAGCUCCCACUCUUUGGGUUUCUUAUUAGUUUAGAAUUUGAUAUCUAUUUUCUGCCAAUAUUAAUCCUAUACAGUGGUUUAAAUGUGAAGCGUGCAUAUUUUCCUCUUCUUUUGAGAUAACAACAAGAGUGCAAACUUGUCUUCUCUGAAAAUAGACUAAGGUUGCACUCUUAUAGGUGCCUAUUCAGAAGGAAGUUCAAGUUCAAUGGAGCUUACUCCUAGCUGAGCACAGGAUUGCAGCCCAAAUUGCCAGGAACUCUAUGAAACACUCAUAGAAAAUACGGUCAGAAAUGUUACCAGGUGAAUCUUUUUGCUGGCACUAUAAACUUAAGCCCAGCAAUUAAGCUACAAGUGAUAAAGCCUAGAAGGUUGUGGGCUCUAAAGCUCUUUGAUGGCUCAUAAUCCAUUCUUCCUCUUGGGCAUCUGAAAAUUCUUGAUGAAGUAGCUGAAAUUGUUAUCACCUAGCCCGAUGGGGAUUUUUCACUUGGUCUAAUUCUCUGUGGCUUUGUGUUUCAUGUAGCAUCAAAUCAAGGAGCAUAAGAGUGGCUCCUUGGAUGGUGUAGGAGAAAAUGGGAAACUGUACGUUGAAGCCUACCCAAACUUGAAACAAAACUGUGAAAAAAUAAAAUCAUCAGCAAGUCCGGAACGAUUGCAUUUCCACAUGUCAAAGUUUGCCUUUGGGACUUUUAUAUGGUUGGAAUCAACCACGGAUUAAUUAGAAGUUGAUUGCUACAGCAGGAAACAGUGCAUGUCAGUCAUAACAAAAUGAAAAGGGUAAAAACUAGAAAGAGGCCUCUCCAAUAUUCAUGCAACUACGUAAGUUUUAUUGGAAAUUGUGUAUCCAAAUUAUGGGAUAGAAGAGGAAAUGGGAAGAGUGUGGGAAUGUUCAGGGAGGCAGGAGAGGAUAUAUUGUUUAAUGAUAUUGUUCCGAACUUGCGUUAGCAAGUUCUAUAUCUUAGGAGAGUUUAAACAUUCCCCUUUAAACGCACAGUGGUUUGCUUGUUGCAGGCUCAUCUGAAUCUCUAUAUAAGAUUCCUGGUAAGAUCCCUUCUAUUCUCUUUAAAAGAAUAGACACGACAAUCUUAUUAAAGUCAAUAUAAAAGUAGUUUACUCACAUUCAUUCAGUUCACAGUUGGAUCCUUGAAGGCAGACUUAGGUUACAAAAGUAUAUAUACAUGUGGAACUAUCCCAUAAGCGAGUUAGUCCCAAAUGACUGCAGACACGCAGUCACUUCUGCUAACAAGUAAAAAAGCAAAAUGGAGAAAAGGAGCAAAAGAAAGAGGUGUGCUCCCCUACCCAGAUUAGGCCACGCCCACAUCUAGUCACAUGCAGAGGAAGUUUGUCCCAGCUCAGGAGGAAACAGUAAGUUUUCUCCUGGCUGGUACAAAGCACCCCCUAGCAUGUCCAUUCUAGUAAUGCUUUACUUGACUGCUAUGUGUUUCACAUCCCAGAAAGAGAAGGGAUAAGAAGUAGACAAAGAAUACAUUCCACCCGCACAAUCACUGUGUGUGCAUGUUAAUUUUUGCACAACCUUUUAUACAAAUAAAAUAAAAUAGCAGAUUAAUGUGGCAAUGGGGUUAAAUGGACUUUUGAAUGAACACUUGCUAAGUGACACUAACUGGAAAUAGAUGGGCUUGGCCCACCUGACCAUCAGGGAUUACAUUUGUAAAGGAAGGAGGACAUCAUGUGCUUCAGGCAGCACUACAUAUUUCGUACACAUUGAGAGUUCCACCUGUGGCAAUGGAACAAACAAGUAUAUAUCAAUGUAUAGCAGUGGCUAAUAUCUGGAAUAGCAAAGAGUCCAUGAACUCUUUGUUUACAAGAAUCCAUGAUGCAGCACCUUGAUGUGACUGUACAAAAGCAAAAUAGAGCAAUGACAAACCCGCCAUCAGGAGCAACAUAUAAUAAUAAUAAUAAUAAUAAUAAUAAUAAUAGUAUUUAUACCCCGCCCAUCUGGCCGGUCAUCCCCAGCCACUCUGGGUGGCUUCCAACAAAAUAUUAAAAUACAGUAAUGCAUCAAACAUUACAAGCUUCCCUAAACAGGGCUGCCUUCGGAUGUCUUCUAAAAGUCUGGUAGUUGUUGUUUUCUUUGACAUCUGGUGGGAGGGUGUUCCACAGGGCGGAUGCCAAUGGGAGUGGAAGUGCAUUGGGAGUGGACAUUUUCCAUUGUUUUCAUCUCCACCAUUCCCUCCUGUGAUCAGACUGUCUGGCUGGCCAUGUGAGGAGAUACUCCACCCCACUCCCCCAGGGACUAAACCAUCUGGUACUACCAGAGCCUCGAUUUCUUGGUAGCAUACUUAGAAGUGGGAGCUAUUCUCCCCCAUGGUAUCUGUGGAAUCUUCCAAGAGCAGCAAUUGAAAUACAAUGAUCACCAGCAACAACAUCUAAUUCCUGUUGUUGUUCCCUAGAUCUUCUGUUAAGUCUCCUCUGCCUUAUGAAAAAAUCUUAUUAUUGUGUUAUUAUUUAUCCAUUUUCACUUAUUGCCAUUCGCCCCGGAGGCCUGCUGUGAGUCAGAAAGACAAGGUAUAAUAUUGCAAGUAAAUAAAUUAAAUCACAUAUUACACCCAGCCAGGAGAAUUAUAUGACAGUGUAGGCAAAAGAAGCUAAAGAUGGCAAGAACAAAGAAAUCUAUACUGUUGUCACCCCCCCCAUUGCAGUAUAAUCUGUGGUGGUCCCUUAACUGCCUAGUGGUAGGACUGGGUGGCUCAGCCAAUGAGAACAUGGAAGAAAGCAGUGCUGACUACCCCAACAAGAGAAUGUAAAGGUAAAGUAAAGGUAAAGGACCCCUGGAUGGUUAAGUCCAGUCAUAGGUGACUAUGGGUUUGCAGUGGUCAUCUUGCUUUCAGGCCAAGGGAGCCGGCAUUUGUCCACAGACAGCUUUCCAGGUCAUGUGGCACCGCUUCUGGUGCAACGGAACACCAUGACAGAAAUCAGAGAGCACAGAAACACUGUUUACCUUCCUGCCACAGCAGUACCUAUUCAUCUACUUGCACUGGUGUGCUUUCAAAGUGCUGUGUUGGCAGGAGCUGGGAUAGAGCAAUGGGAGCUCACCCCAUUGUGGGGAUUCGAACCGCCGAUCUUCUGAUCGGCAAGCCCAAGAGGCUCAGUGGUUUAGACCACAGUGCCACCUGCGUCCAAGACACAAUACAGUACAAGAGAAUGUUUUUGUGGUGAAUGCAGAAAGCUGGCAGGAUAUGCUUUUUAAAAUGAGGUCAGUGGUUUGGGCUUGCUAUUAAUUGAGCUGAAACAGAAACUUAGACUACAGGACUGCCCUCCCCUUCCAAUAGAUUUUGUCCAUUGGGCCAGGAACAGGGAGAAGGAAGCACAUCUCUGCUCUGCUUUGGCAUCAAUAGGAUGCUUUUCUCUUUCUCCAUCCACUCAGUUUCAGCCUUGCAUCAGCAACCAGCUGGCUCUUCUUGUGGUGAACUAAGAACCACCAGAUAUGCAGGGACUGUCUUCCAGGUGCAUUGGCAAUGUGGAGUUAUUUCCUUCUUUCCUAGCAGUGUACAGUGGCUCACAGCACAGCACAGGAAGAUGAGGAGGGCAGCCUAGCUGCUUAAGCAAGUGGGUGACUCUUCUAGUCUUCCAGGGCUGCCCUGUAAGCUACCUGGAAGAGAUGUCUGGUUGCCUAGUUACCUUGGUUAACAUCAUUACAGAUUGCUAUCUCCCAGUGCUAUGCUGUGGACCACUGUGGAGUCAUGCUUGAAGACAGGAGCAAUCCCAGAAGUGGUGAAUUAAACGUACAACUGGGAAGGCACUGGGAGGCAUUUCAGGAAUCCCAGUGCUCUAAUUCCCACCCACCCCUUGCAAACCCCAGCUCAAUAAUACUUUAGCUCAGCUCUUUCCUGAGCCCUAAUAAGUACAGACAAGCAAAUUAGAAUGACUCUGUUUCAAUAUAUUUCAGGUACGUUCAGCAGAUUUUGAAUUUAUGAUACUAACUAGAUGGUGAAAUGUAAAAAUAUAUUAGGAAGAAAGGGCCAUAUAACUGAUGGAGUCUGGAAGGAAUAUGGAUGUAACGGAUUAGUACAACUAAAACCACAUUCAAUGCAUUCUCAAAUAGGGUACUUGUACAAAUUGCAAUUGUGGUAAUGAAAAUUAAGAAAGCAAUUCUGAAAAGGAUAAAGUGACAAGUAAUUUGGCGCUUUAUCAGAGGGGAAAUCAGCCAACCAUAAACUCCUUCCUUUGCAUUUGCUCAAUGUCUUCUUGCUCUCAUCUGGCUCUGGUUAUCUAUUGCUUGAAGUUAUUUGUACUUUUAUGUUUUGGCUUAGAAGCUCUGAAUUACUCCAAAAGCCUUUGCCUGUCUUCCUGAUAUCAAGUGGUAGAGGUGUGGGUGGGUGGGUGGGUGGGUGUUUGUGUGGGUGUUUACUGAGUAGAAAGAGAGAGAGAGAAAUCCUGCAACAUUGCUGUUACUACAAGCAAGUUACAGAUUUUUACUGGCAGUACUUUCCUGGAACAGAACUAAAUUGGAACCAUGGGAGGAACUGGAACAGGGUGUGUGUUUGAGCAUGCAGUUGUGUGCACAAAAAGUUUUGCUGUGAAGGUCUCCAUAGAGCAUUGUCAAAGAGUGUCUAUGAACAAGAAAGUACUGUAUCUCAGGGAUGGUGUCAUGGAACCACAAACUUGUGGGCAGAGAAAAGGACUAUUUGGGCUGUGGCUGGCUAUGAGGGAAUCACACUUUUGGGGUUGUUGCUUAUUACUGUUUCAUAAGGGCAACAUGAGGUUUGUUAGUCCCUGUUAGAACACACACCCCUUCUAGAUGAUCUCUGUCCAAGGCUAAAGAGAUUUUUAUUUCCCAUGAACAUCACUAUUUGUGUUUUGCCCUAAAUGUUCUCCUGCAGCACUUUGACAGCCGCUGCUUAUCCUGUCAAGGAGGUGAGCAACCCAGUGAAUCAUCAACAUAAUUCAGAUGUUCCUUGGGGUGCUUAACAAGGACCAUCUAACCUCCAGCCCUACUUAGUAUGUGAGAUGGGACUGAAUCAGCAUUGUAUGACUGCUGUCCCACACAGGCUGACUGUCCCCCAGCAGCCUAAAUUAUACAUUAUUUCUCAGUGACCUAGAGGACAGCCCUUUCCCCAAGUAAUUGCCACAAGCUGCUUUAAGUCCAUGAAUAUUAAUUUUCCACUCAUUUUCUGACUUUUCUCAAGCCUUCAGGAGAAGCAUCUUCAUUGUGACCUAAGGAAUUGCCACCAAACAACUCAAGCAAUGGAAACUGGUUUUCCUGGCAUAUUUUGGAUAAAUGCUACUCUUUUUUGAAUGUUGGUGGAAUGUCAGCGCAUAAAGGCUUAAUACCUUUAUGCAUUGAUUUUCAUAAAGUUGAGUAAAAGUUUGCUGUGCUG